GUGAAUAUAAUAAGUAACUCUUAGUGGCAAAAGAGUGCACAAGAGUGACACAAGGUACUUCUACAAUCAGAAUAAGUUGAGAAGUUCGGAAAAACAUGUGAAUUUUCGUGUCAAGUUUCGGGACGAAACUUCUUUUAAGAGGGGUAGAUUGUAAUCCCCCGUAAUUUUAUACAUUUUAGUUAUAUAUUUUUACGAAUAUUUAAUAUAUUUAAUGUAUAUUUAAACAUAGAUUACGGAUUUUAGAAACGAAUAUGUAAUUGAAAUGUAAUUACUUUAUUUCAUUUGGAAUACUUUUAAAUGGUUUAAGAAAUCAAAAUGUAUUUUCGAGUUUUACUUUAAAACGAGUUCGAAUUGCAAAACCACGUUCUAUUGAAAUUAGAAAACAAGUCCUAACCCAUGGUGGAUUCAUCAACCUAAAUCCUACUCCUAGCCCAAUUGGGCAAAGCCCAAACAAAAAAAAUAAAACCCUUCUCUUCUCUAUUCUUCACGUGAAAACCAAAAAAAAAAAAAAAGAGAGAAAGCCCUCACGCAACUCAGCUCUCCUUCCCUCCCGCUGCUCGCCGCCCAGCCGACCACCAUCGACGCAACCAGUGACUCAAGGCCGACCACCGCACGCGACCGUGCUCAGCCCUGCCGCGAGCCACCGCUGUCCGCCGGCCAGCCCCCCCUUAAACUCUUGAAUUGGCGGAGAAUUCUCUCUAGGCGACUUUUGAAAGUGUUAAGGUGGCCUAUCAGUUUGUUUACACAAGUCUCUAAGGAUCGAUAAGCGUUGCCCAUCUACAGGUUUGAAGAUGAUGCAUCAUUGGGAUCGGGAUUAGAGAGCUUGUAGUUCUAUUCGUUUAAUUAAGUGAUUUAAUUUGUUAACUUGGAUUUGAAAUUUGUCGUACUAUUCGUAUUUCCUUAAUUCAGUUAAUUGGUUUGGACCUAAUAUGUAAUAGAUUAUUUAUGAACCUAAAGGUUAGUUUUAUGUUUUCCGCUGCAAAAUUCUGA